ACAAAUUCUGUCAUAUGAUGGUAUUGUAUUUACAUUAGGUUCCAUUCAGCAGUCGAUUUAAUAUUGUUUCCAUUGUGCGCUCGUCCCUCAGUGGUCGCAACACUGUUACCGUAAGUAUCGCAGGAAUCGGGCACUUCAACUAUAGCGACGAUUUGACCAGGGAAAAGCGAUCGGGGGUUCAUUGGACCGCGGUCUUUGACAGAGGUAAGAAGAAAGUCCUGGUUGUAACAGUGCAAAUAGUUUUACUAAGAUAGUUGUACGUUUAUACUUUUGCACUACACGUAAAUGGAAAAUAUUUUACCACAUUUUAUGUUUUGCAAGUUUAGCUUUAUUAGCGAUUUAUGUAUAAAUUAUAUUGGAGUGAAUUGUAUUGUAUACAUUGUAUAUAUUAUAUUACGAGCUGUUUACAAGCAAUUUUCAACUUUCUUUUUCUUUCUUUUAACUCCCUGAACGUGACAACGCAGCAGGAGACGAGCUUUCAUUGCUGAGUUUAAGUUGGAGCUUUGACACGUGUGGCGCUAGCUAGCCUGUAAGCUAGCGCUAACCGUUAGCAUGGAACCCCAUGUCGUUAACACUGCAUUCGCUGCUUCUUUAAAUUUCUGGGGAUGUGCUCACAUUUUGUAACAUGAUUGUACUAUUUCAGACAAUGUGGCACGGCUGUCCGUGGGGUAGUGUCUACGGCGGGGCCGAUCCCGUACCGUUCUAUGCUAACGGCUAUGUGUUCGCCUUGGUGCCGGCGCCUCGGAUGCCCUUGCGUCACAACGCGCUGACUCUGAGUCCAAACCCAGGACUCAGGUGUCCGGACGAUGUGAUUAAAAAAAAGGUUUCUGUGUCAACAGAAGAGACCAGGAGGCUCCUCUUGGACAGGCGUUUGUUUGAUUUGGUGGAUGCUCAUCCUUAUCUUGAACUAACUGACCCCAAGUUGCUGGGCUGGUACCUUGGUUUGUCUGCAGAGGACAGGACGAUCAUCCAAGCUGACGGAGGACUUCAAAACUUUCUACUAAGACAUCCUGCCUUAGAACUGACUCCGCAUCACGUUUAUGUCAAGGCUAGAAGGGCUCAUAAAGCACCCAGAUCUAUUUUGCCAAGACAGAACCUGAGCACUAAUGGAAUGUCCCCUACAGUGCAAGAGUUGAACGUCUACAGCAAUAAUAUGUGGAAAAAUUCAGCUGUAUCAGACCCUACGAACAGACAGGAUGGGUCACAGAAACAGCCAUGUGAGGAUCCAGGAAUCCCAGGAAGCUUCUGUCUGGACACGGUGCUGGAGAGGUGCAGACCAAGCAGAAAGUCUGAGCACAGGAGCUUUAGGUUAGUGACCCAAGAUCAGACGCCCAACUUCAGCGAGGUCCAUCCAUCACAGUCUGAAUGGUCAACAAUUAAAAACACGUCUCUUACUGAGCUCUCCAGUUCUGACUAUCUCAGAACUACAGAAAAUGGCACAAAGAAAGAGAUUCAGGAUUGUCAGGUCUAUAAUGAGGGCACCAUUAACACAGCUAAUGUAGGCUCGAGUCAGGGGAGGGACAUUUGUACCAUAUUGGAUGAAGACAAGAGCAUCCUUGUUUGUGUUACCAGCGAUGAUCAGAAAACGUACUCGGGUACAGUCUCUCCAAAUGGUGAAACACUAGCACCCAGGAGUGAGCUCUUAGACGGCGGUCAGUCUCUCAACAACAGCUGCUCUGAGGAAAAAGGCCCUUUUCCGCUGCCUCGUGUUUCCUGUGACACAGAGUCUGCACAGUGUGUGUCAGCUUUCACCCAAACCAAUGAUCCAGUAUCAUCAGACAAGCAAAUCAAUACUGAAAUCUGCAUGGCAGAUGUGGACUACGUUGCUGUGGAAUUUCUCAGGCUCAAGAAAACUGAAGAGAAAGUGAAGAAUAAAUGUGACUGCAUGCAGCGCGCUCAACAAGCCGAGCUGUCUCUGCUGAGCCUGCAGUACCGCAUGUGCAGACAGCAUUGUUGGAGUCUCCACUGCGCCGCGGCUGGUGGAAACCAGGGCAGCGCUGAUGGGAAGCAACAUUGUCCAGUGGACCCUCCUGCAGACAUCAGUGCUGUUUUGAACAAACUGGAAUCUGACUAUAAUGAGCUAAGUGGUAGGAUCCUGGAAGGGGUUCCUCUAGAGCAACUGAAGCCUCUGUCAGUCAACUGUGGGAAGAUAACCCCAGCGCCUUACAUUCCUGCACAGGUCAUCGCCAGCAUGCAAGGAAGUGUUCCUCAACCGCCCCAGGAUCUGCAGAGGAACAGAACACCAACAAAUGACUCCCAGAGAGAAACCAAAGAGGUUACCCAGCAGAACAGCUCGGCCAAGAGAGCAGUCCCUGUCGUUCCUCAGGCGAGUGGAGCUCUGUGUGAUGCACAGACACUGGCAGACACUCAGACGGUUGACUGAUCAACCUCAUGGCUCCAGCGUCCACAACUCUGAUGACUGAGCUGACACGGUGCCAUCUGGACCUGGAGGCAGGAGAACUUGGGAGUCCGGGUGGAACUGAGGCCAUGUGCCAAGUUAUGAAGGAUCAGUCCUUUGGUGCCUGGAAUGUUGUGUUAACAUUAAUUUUGUUGCAUGUUGAAAUAGUUUGACAGCAGUUUAUUUCCAAGGCUUUUUUCAGUAACCUGUGUUCAUAUGAAAACAGUAUAUGAAUAUCUUGUUCUAAGGUUGUGUUUAAGGUUGCUCAUGUUGGAUGUGCAGGAAUUUGGUUGUCUGUUAAUAAAAAGUAUGUACAAAAACGCUUUGGUUAUUAU
rnacentral:lncRNA from 1 species